AUUGAACGCUGGCGGCAUGCUUUACACAUGCAAGUCGAACGGUAACAGGCCGCAAGGUGCUGACGAGUGGCGAACGGGUGAGUAAUGCAUCGGAACGUGCCCAGUCGUGGGGGAUAACGCAGCGAAAGCUGCGCUAAUACCGCAUACGAUCUAUGGAUGAAAGCGGGGGACCGUAAGGCCUCGCGCGAUUGGAGCGGCCGAUGUCAGAUUAGGUAGUUGGUGAGGUAAAGGCUCACCAAGCCGACGAUCUGUAGCUGGUCUGAGAGGACGACCAGCCACACUGGGACUGAGACACGGCCCAGACUCCUACGGGAGGCAGCAGUGGGGAAUUUUGGACAAUGGGGGCAACCCUGAUCCAGCAAUGCCGCGUGCAGGAAGAAGGCCUUCGGGUUGUAAACUGCUUUUGUACGGAACGAAACGGCUCUGGUUAAUACCUGGGGCUAAUGACGGUACCGUAAGAAUAAGCACCGGCUAAUUACGUGCCAGCAGCCGCCGUAAGAC
rnacentral:rRNA from 1 species